rnacentral:tRNA from 1 species
GCCGGGGUGGCCCAGCCAGGUACGGCGACAGGUCCCCAACCCGUUGGCGCUUACGCGCUUCCUGGGUUCAAAUCCCAGCCCCGGCG